GGGAGGUAGUGACAAUAAAUAACAAUACGGGGUUCUUCGAAUCUCGUAAUUGGGAUGAGUACAAUUUAAAUCUCUUAACGAGGAACAAUUGGAGGGCAAGUCUGGUGCCAGCAGCCGCGGUAAUUCCAGCUCCAAUAGCGUAUAUUAAAGUUGUUGCAGUUAAAAAGCUCGUAGUUGAAUUUCGGGAUUAGUAGGUUGGUCGUGCCUCUGGUAUGCACUGGCUUUACUGGUUCCUCCUUCUUGAAGAACUGUAAUGUCAUUAAUUUGGUGUUGCAGGGAAACAGGACUGUUACUUUGAAAAAUUAGAGUGUUUAAAGCAGGCCAACGCCUGAAUACAUUAGCAUGGAAUAAUAAAAUAGGACGUUCGAACCUAUUUUGUUGGUUUCUAGGAUUGACGUAAUGAUUAAUAGGGAUAGUUGGG
rnacentral:rRNA from 1 species